AUGGACGUACGAUACGUGUUGCACAGUCGAGUGAAGAAGCAUCUCAAGUGCGUACAGUGCAGGGUUGCUAUCUGGACCAGAAGAAAAAGCAUGGCAAUAUGGCAUGGCAUGCAUGGUUUGGACAUGUACAAAAGUGACUGUCGAAGUCGACGGAUCGGGCAAAUCGACAGGCAAUACACUGCCUUCUACGGCAAGAAGCAGGAGCAAAGUCAGUUGCGUCUUCGUCUUCCUCCUGGCGAUCUCGAUCGAACUAGCCACCACGUGUUGUACGUAGCACACGUACAUGAACGCCAACCAUACGCAAGGCCGCGUCGCAUCGGCCAGCCGUGUGGACGAGAUAUUAUAUGUUGCUGGGAUGUUGAUGACACGGAGACAUGUAUCUGCUAUCUGCCUGAUGGAAGUCGAUCGAACCAACGAACCAACGAACGAAUGGUAGAUGCGCUCCUCCCGAGCUUGUGGGGUGGUGGGGCGCGGCCUGAAAGUGAAAAUUGA
rnacentral:rRNA from 1 species